GACGAACGCUGGCGGCGUGCUUAACACAUGCAAGUCGAACGGAAAGGCCCUGCUUUUGUGGGGUGCUCGAGUGGCGAACGGGUGAGUAACACGUGAGUAACCUGCCCUUGACUUUGGGAAAACUUCAGGAAACUGGGGCUAAUACCGGAUAGGAGCUCCUGCUGCAUGGUGGGGGUUGGAAAGUUUCGGCGGUUGGGGAUGGACUCGCGGCUUAUCAGCUUGUUGGUGGGGUAGUGGCUUACCAAGGCUUUGACGGGUAGCCGGCCUGAGAGGGUGACCGGCCAAGAGGGGCGAGACAAGGCGCACAGCGGCGGAGGAGGGGAAGAAGAGGUGGAUAUUGCGAAGGGGGGGCAAUGCGUAGGAAAGAACGCGGGGGUGGGCGUGCCGCGCUUCGGGUGGCACACCGCCUUUGGGUGUAAGGACGCGGGAGGGGGGGGAAUGGAAAAAGAAGCGCCGGACUACGACGUGCAAGAGGGCGUAUAAGAGUCGGCAGGCACUCGGUUGAAC
rnacentral:rRNA from 1 species